rnacentral:rRNA from 1 species
UGGGGAAUAUUGCACAAUGGGCGAAAGCCUGAUGCAGCAACGCCGCGUGAGUGAUGAAGGUCUUCGGAUUGUAAAGCUCUGUCUUUUGGGACGAUAAUGACGGUACCAAAGGAGGAAGCCACGGCUAACUACGUGCCAGCAGCCGCGGUAAUACGUAGGUGGCGAGCGUUGUCCGGAUUUACUGGGCGUAAAGGGUGCGUAGGCGGAUGUUUAAGUGAGAUGUGAAAUACCCGGGCUUAACUUGGGUGCUGCAUUUCAAACUGGAUAUCUAGAGUGCAGGAGAGGAGAAUGGAGUUCCUAGUGUAGCGGUGAAAUGCGUAGAGAUUAGGAAGAACACCAGUGGCGAAGGCGAUUCUCUGGACUGUAACUGACGCUGAGGCACGAAAGCGUGGGUAGCAAACAGGAUUAGAUACCCUGGUAGUCCACGCCGUAAAACGAUGAGUACUAGGUGUAGGAGGUAUCGACCCCUUCUGUGCCGCAGUAAACACAUUAAGUACUCCGCCUGGGAAGUACGAUCGCAAGAUUA